rnacentral:snRNA from 1 species
AUACCUUUCUCGGCCUUUUGGCUAAGAUCAAGUAUAGCAUCUGUUUUUAUCAGUCUAAUAUCUGAUAUAUGGGCCAUGUGUCCACUUUGGUAUUAAAUUUAUUUUUUUGGGAGAGUCCUUGUAAUAGCUUGCUACUGGGGCUCCCAUGUGUCGCCUAGGGGUUGCACUACUACCUAGGCCUGGCGCACUCCAA